GAUGAACGCUGGCGGCGUGCCUAAUACAUGCAAGUCGAGCGAACAGACGAGGAGCUUGCUCCUCUGACGUUAGCGGCGGACGGGUGAGUAACACGUGGAUAACCUACCUAUAAGACUGGGAUAACUUCGGGAAACCGGAGCUAAUACCGGAUAAUAUAUUGAACCGCAUGGUUCAAUAGUGAAAGACGGUUUUGCUGUCACUUAUAGAUGGAUCCGCGCCGCAUUAGCUAGUUGGUAAGGUAACGGCUUACCAAGGCAACGAUGCGUAGCCGACCUGAGAGGGUGAUCGGCCACACUGGAACUGAGACACGGUCCAGACUCCUACGGGAGGCAGCAGUAGGGAAUCGUCCGCAAUGGGCGAAAGCCUGACGGAGCAACGCCGCGUGAGUUAUGAAGGUCUUCGGAUCGUAAAACUCUGUUAUUAGGGAAGAACAAAUGUGUAAGUAACUAUGCACGUCUUGACGGUACCUAAUCAGAAAGCCACGGCUAACUACGUG
rnacentral:rRNA from 1 species